AAACGUGACAUAAAAGACGUAUAAAAAACGUUUGUUUCGUAGAUUAGAUCAGAUGGUUUAGCUUAGUUUAAAAACAGUCUAACGAUAUUAGAAUAAUAACUUUAUGUUUUAGCUUCGUUUUAUUCAAGUAACGUUAUUAAAUAUAAAUCCUAUCACGAUUUGCGUUACAAAUAAAUACCAGCAAAGAACUACGGCGGGCGAAGACAGAAACACAUUGAAGAGAUCGCUCUAUCUGGCACCCCGCCCGCUGGAUCUUCACACAGGGAAAAACAAGCGCACCUCUUCAACUGACGUAACCCCCAGUCACCCCACAUCGUCGUCUCUCGCUCUCGAUGAGUCGGAACAGCAGCAACUAAUUUUCUUAAAAAACACAUCUGGUUCCUGGGGCAGGGAAGCGAGAUGGAUGAUCAUGUUCAAAAUAAACUGGUAGAAUGGGACCUGGGUGAUUUACUCUCUACAUUUGAAGACAGGCACAUCGCUUUGCUUCUGCUACCUGUGGUGACC